rnacentral:lncRNA from 1 species
AUGCUGGCGAGUACAUAGGUUUUAUAGGUGUGUCGAAUUCAUGGCUAGUUUAAGUGUUGCAAUACUUUAUUAAAAACUUUGUUUUGAAAAGAGUAUAAUAUUGCAACUUAAUUGACCAACUCGAAUCAAGCGGGUUAUAGUUUAUAAAACCUCGUAGCCAUGAUUCUUAACCCAAAACCUUUGCUUUAGAACACCAACUUGUAAAACAUCUUGCAAUAACUCGUUAAAAGCUCGUAUAGUUUAUACCUCUUAGAAAAACAUCGUUGUGUGAUAUCGUUUCAAAAUCGUUUACCCAAGUGAACUAAAUAACGCCACGAUAUGUAAUAUGAUGAAAACACUUAUAUAUAAGAAGUACCAACGGCGUAUCUACCAUGUUUUCACCACAUUACACCCGUCUCGUUAUCUAAACACUUAACCAAAAACCAAUCGCUUAUCGUAAUCGUUUGACAUCGUUUCCAAGUCGUCCCCAAAUCGUUUACUCGUUUCACCUCGUGUAUCUCGUUUCAAAUCGUUUAACUCGUCUCAAAAUCUUGGAAGAUGGAAGUAAGUGAAACUACUUUUGGUCGUCUCGCUAACAACAUUCAAACCUGUGUGACUCGAUUAUUGUUCAACUCGUUUUCGCAUUAACAAACCUCCAAAGGGUAAGUUAAAAAUUAUCAGAUUCAGUCGUUACCCACAACCCCCACACAUAACCAUGGGUGUAGUGCAAUAACGGGAUUUGUCAGAUCCUAUGGUACCAUAACCUAAUACUGGUCGGCUUGAUCAAUGUUAAUGAAUGUCAUUCGUUAUGUAAUUACAACCAACAAGUCGUGUACACCUUAUCGAAAUCGUUAGUAGUUUUGUAUAAACCACCU